rnacentral:rRNA from 1 species
UACAGAGGGUGCAAGCGUUGUUCGGAAUUAUUGGGCGUAAAGGGCGCGUAGGCGGUUCGGCAAGUCUCUAGUGAAAUCUCAGGGCUCAACUCUGAGUCUGCUGGGGAAACUGCCGGGCUUGAGUGUGGGAGAGGAGAGUGGAAUUCCCGGUGUAGCGGUGAAAUUCGUAGAUAUCGGGAGGAACACCGGUGGCGAAGGCGGCGACCUGGGUAGAUACUGACGCUGAGGUGCGAAAGCGUGGGGAGCAAACAGG